rnacentral:rRNA from 1 species
CAGUCGCCGCGGGAAUACGAGGGGAGCUAGCGUUGUUCGGAAUUACUGGGCGUAAAGCGCGCGUAGGCGGCUUUUUAAGUCAGAGGUGAAAGCCCGGGGCUCAACCCCGGAAUUGCCUUUGAAACUGGAAAGCUAGAAUCUUGGAGAGGUCAGUGGAAUUCCGAGUGUAGAGGUGAAAUUCGUAGAUAUUCGGAAGAACACCAGUGGCGAAGGCGACUGACUGGACAAGUAUUGACGCUGAGGUGCGAAAGCGUGGGGAGCAAACAGGAUUAGAUACCCGCGUAGUCCCUGUCUCUUAUAC